rnacentral:lncRNA from 1 species
CCCCCCUAAAAUUUGGAAAUUUUUUGAGGACCUAUAUGUAAUUAAAUUUUUUAUAGGGGGUUUAGUAUAAUUUUCACAAUAUAUUAAUAUUUUUAAGGGUUAAUAUAUAAAUUUCACAAUAUUUAUAUAUUAUAUAAAUUUCUUUUAGUAUACUUUUCAUAAGGGUUUAGCAUAAUUUCACAAGGGUUUAGUAUACUUUUCAUAAAAUCACCAUUUAAAAAUUUACAAACUCAAUUUGCCAAUAUUUCCCCCAAAUAAAAUCCAAACAUUAACCCUAGCAUCCUUAAAUUCCCAAAUUGGAUUUUCAGGCGACAAGACUCCACUCUCCAGAAGAAGCAGAUGCUUCAUCUAAUUAUCUUCAUUCUGCAGGUUCUUAUUUCUAUUUUAGAUCUUAUAAGUGUCCGAUUCAAACCAUCACCUUCAGUUUUUGUUUUAAGAGGUAAUGACGCAUUCGGUUCUUCAUUUCUUCUCCAGUUCAUCUUUUCUUCUUCUUCCGAUAAUCCGAUUCCCUUUCAAUUUUUAAUAGGCGUAAUUGCUUUAUUCUUUUACAUCUUCUCUCAGAUUUGGAAGUUAAUAGUAGAAUGCAAUUCUUUCUACAUUCCUCAUUGUUGGGUUGUAACUCCAUCA